GGGAUAAGGGCCACGGAUUUGAACCAAGGAGUUGUUUACGGAGUCCGAACCAAUGAGACUGCAUCACAUGAGGAGCUUUGCAAUCGAUUUGAUUACGAUGGUAUCUUUGGGACAGCUCUCAAUAGAUUCUGUGUACAAGCUGCUGUCGGACACCCGCUUACAGUAUAUGGCAAAGGUGGUCAGACCCGAGGCUAUCUUGAUAUCAGGGACACAGUUCAAUGUGUCGAGCUGGCCAUCGCCAAUCCUGCAAACCCUGGUGAGUUCAGGGUGUUCAACCAGUUCACCGAGCAGUUCUCGGUUAACCAACUUGCGCAGUUAGUCACCAGCGCAGGUGAAAAGCUAGGAGUAGAAGUCCGAGCAUUAUCUGUGCCCAAUCCACGGGUGGAAGCGGA
rnacentral:misc_RNA from 1 species